AAAAGUAAACCUAAAAAUGAAUUAAAAAAUAAAACCAACCUCGUGACUACCUCCUCAUCCUUAUCUCUUCAUCAACGCUCUCUCCUCCCCCUCACCUUUCUCGAUCCAGUCACAACAAAUCUGUACUUUCUCUCUCCUCUUAUCUUCAUCCAACAUCAUUCGCUCUUCUUAUUUCUCCUGAUAUACUCUCUCUUGGUGUGCUAGCUGCUGUACUUCGUCUCUGCUACUGUCGCUACUUCAUCUCAGCCACUGUCGCUGCCCCGUCUCCGCCGUAGACGUUGCUGCCCCGUCUCCGCCUAGCUACUGCUGCUCUCUCCGCUUUGUCACUGUUGGUAUUUUUUUUAUUUAAGUAAAUUUUUGAGUAAUUAUUUGAUUGAUUUGAUUAAUUGUUUUUAAUAGCAUGUAAAAAUGAUAUUGUUCACGAUUGUCAUUGCCAUGAUAAUGAUUUCACUACAAAUGCCAUUUUGUUGAUGAUGCACAAUUUGAAUUUAUUGCCUGUCACUCCAAAAAUAAUUUUUUUUUUUAAGAGAGAAAAUGAUUUAGGAAAAUUGGGCUUUUGUUAUUAGAGAGAAAUAGAGAUUUUUCAAGCUUUGCUUUAGAUGGAAUUCUCUUAAACAAUCUGCAAUUUGAAUUUAUUGACUGUCACUCUAAAAACAUAUAUAUUUUUUAAGAGAGAAAAUGGUUUAGGCAAAUUGGGCUUUUGUUAUUAGAGAGAAAUAUAGAUUUUUCAAGCUUUGCUUUGGAUGGAAUUCAUUUAAACAAUUUGCAAUUUGUGGAAGUGAGAAUUAAAAAUAAAAACCCAUUUUUUGUUGUGCCAAAAAAAAAAAAAAGUUAAAAAAAAUUAACAUACUAUAAGAAAGCUUACUUUUUGGAGCAUUUGAUGAACACUUCAUUAAGUCUUAUGUAGCAUUUUGUCCAACGCUAUUUUGGACGAUGCUGUAAAGGUAGAAUGUCUAAUGUAGCGGUCAACAAAUGUUGUAAAAAGAGUAUCAUAAAAAUGUUGUAAAGACAAAAUAACAUUGGGAAAACGCCGCAAAAACUGUACUGCCAAAAACCAACAUUCACUUGUUCCUUUAAAUAUCAAAAUUAAAUAUUCAUACAAUUUUUCAAAAUAGAAUAUCCAAAUUUCAAAAUUAAAUGUCCAUACAAAUAUAGAGAUUUAAAAAGUUACUGCAUAUGUCCAUACAAACAUCAAAAUUGAAUAUCCAAAUAUAGGUUGUACACAUCAGGUCAAUAAUAUUCAAUACAUCAACAAACCAUUUAGUUUAAGGCUACAUAGUUCUUCGGCCAAGCAAUCGUGCUUCCAAUUUCAUCAUCAAGAACAUAAAAAUCAGAUGUCAUACGAUAUAAAGGAGUUUUUCCUAUUAUUGUUAUUGUAACCUAAACCUUCCAAUAAUUUGGUCCAAGAUCCAUGUGAUGUGCCUUUGAAAGUGGAUUUGUUGAUGCAACUGUUCCUUCUCCGAAAACUUUUAUUAUGCCCUUCCAAUCCAACAAUUUGCAUUGUGUAUUCUCCACGUUAGAUUCAUUAAAUCCAUGUCUGUUGGUGCUUUGUAUCUACCACAAACAAGAACAAUGAAACAAAGGUAUUAGUCUUAGAACAUAAUUAUUGACUUCUUAAAAUGAUCCAUAAAGGUGUUAGUCUUAGAAUAUAAUUAUUUUCUUAAAACUAUCUAAAACUUACUUGUGAAUUAUCUUCAAAAUCUUGCAUUUUUUCAUUUCUACAAUUUUGAACCUACAAGUACAUAAAAUGUCUGAAGAUUACUUCUAGCUAUAACCAAAGUUAAAAAAUUGAAUUAAAAGCAAAUAAAUAAUUUAAAAAAAAAACAGAGCAAUACUAACCAACAAUAUGGCUUCCAACUUUCAGAAAGUGUCAUAACUCAUAUUCAAAUUAAAUUCAUUAAUACCAACUUUCAGUAAUUAACAAAUGAGACUUGAAGUUCAAUAUACAACUAAGCAAAUGUAAACAUAUAUAAAAAGACAUAUACAUUCAUUACCUCAUGUGUCCUCAUGUAAUUGAUGAAUGAUGCUUGAAGUUCAUUAUAUUUGGCAUGAAGAUCAUUUAGUCUGCUCUCAGGCUGAGAAACAUUUGAGUGGGUAAUUGCUUGUAAAGCCAAUUUAGAAGGUGUGGCUGCGAAUCCAAAUCCUCGCACUCGUCCAAGACGUUCUUUUCCCAAUACACGAGUUAAAGCAUCACUUUUGACAGUACAUUUACCUAAGUCACGAUGUGUCCUCCUAUAUUAUUUAAUAUUUUCUUGUAAGCAUGUGUUUUAAAUUCUUAUUAGCAAACUAAUUAACGGGUAAAUAAAAAUGUUAUAAAAGAAAAAAUAUUAAUCACCAAGUUAUCAGCAAUUUCUUUAUCAAUUGGAGUUCCAUCUUUCUUUGAAUAGGCAUGAGACCAAAUGUCAACUCGAGUUAUUGAUGAAUUUGGAUUUUGUUUUAUCUACAAAAUAUAUAGAUCAUUAUUUGAUUACCGAACUACGUGUAAUGCAUAAGAAUAAAAACUUAACAAGAAAAAUUACCAUUUCAUGUCUCAAACGAGGAAGUCUUUUACGGCCUGUACGAUGAACUCUUUUUUGCUUUGCCCUCAAAGCUUGUAAAUAUUUGCUUUUCAACUAGAUGAACUGGAAAAGUGAGUGAAUUAUUACAUAAAAAUUUCCUUACACAAUUUAGAAGAAUCAUACUGAUCUGAAACUCUCUAGAAGUUCUAUCUCUAAUGAAUUUAUUCCACUUUUGCUCAGAUUUGAUGUUUUGAGGUUUCAUCUCUCUCAAUGCAGCAAGGUGAUUGAUCACAUCUUAUUUUUCUUGACAACUCUGACUUGUACGUUCUCUAAAUUUUUCCCAUCAUCAUAAGAAUAUAGUCUCUGUAACAAUCAUCAAUGAUGAAUUGUUGCUGCAAUAGUAAAAAAUGUUUAUUAGUUAAGGAAAUACUAGAAGAUAUACAUUUCAUCAUAAAUCAACACAUAUCAAACACUACCUGGACACAAAUCCAAAGUAUUUUUCUUAAAUCUUCAUCAACUUUAUGCCAACUAUUCAAUGUUAUAGGCAUCAUUUGUUUUACCAAGCUACCACUAUAAGAAGACAAUUUAAUGGAAUUAUCACCAACAGCCUACCCAAUCUCAUUAAAUGAAACAUCCAUACGUUUGCCAUCAAUAGAUGCAACAACGUCAAUCUUUGCAAGACCCCUUUUCCUUUUAUUCACUUUUGGAAGAAAUAUUGAAUUAUGAGAAUCAGAGUCACUAAACUCACUGUCUUCAGGUUCAUCUCUAGCAAUUAUAUGUUUUCCCUUUGCUCUUUUUGCUGCCUGUUUAAAGGACUAUAUAUAAUCAUGAUUAAAAUUAGAGUAAAUAAUGAAAAUAGACAAAUCUAAGUUGAUAAUAUUGAAUUAUAACUUACAUCUAUAAGUCCCCUCUUCUUUUUCUUUUUUGGACAAUCAGAAUCAAAUUCACUAAACUCAAUCUCUUUAAGUUCAUCUAAGAUAGCUACAUGUUUUCUCUUUGCUUUUUUUUUUUUUUGCUUAUAUAGAGCACAAUAUAAACAUAAUCAAAAUUAAAAUAAUCAAAAUAACAAAUUCUAAGCCGAUAAUACUGAAUCAUGACUUACAUUAAAAGGUGCAGCCAAAUGAAUCUUUGUAAGACCUUUUCUUUUCUUUUUCUUCUUUUUCGUACAUAAGGGGGGAUAGGUUGAAUUAUCUGAAUCAAAAUCUGCAAUCUUUCUAUAUCUUCAUUAUUAUCUCUAAGAGUUGUGACUAUAGCUGCAAGUUCUUUCUUAUGUUUUUUUUUCAGCUUGUUUAGAAGACUGCAUGUAUGUUAUUCAAAUUAGAAUAAAUCAGCAAAACAUUUUUAAUAACUGCUGAUAUUUAAAUAAGAACUUACUUCUCUAAUUGUUUUUAGCAUUUUGUAAACAAUUUGACGCUGUCCUACAUUGAAUUGGUUAAUGGGCAUGUUUACUUGAAAAAAAAUAUAAAAGAGAAACAAAGCAAAAGCAAUACGUAGAAAAGAUAUAUAUGAUAACAAUAAACACUAAUAAAAAAAGCUUACACUGAACUAUGAAAAAAAAAACUUUUUGCUAGGGUUGUAUUUCUUUCCAAUUGAUCAC
rnacentral:lncRNA from 1 species